AAGUAGCAGUCCAUGAUAGAUAAUAAAACUUGGUUAAUAUAAUUUGAACACGUGAGAGGAAAAGUGUAAUCCAUUCCUGCAGUCUCUCCUGAAUGAGACCAUGUGUUAUAUAGACUUGAUGAAU
rnacentral:snoRNA from 1 species